AAAAGGUGUGUGUACACACACUGACAGCUCCACAAAUGAGUGUUCAGAAGGGCCUGCAAGGUGUGACUCUUUGGAACCACACGUCAAGGUAAUCACCACACACCUGUACUGGAGACUGCUGGAGGAGUCUGACCACAAGGGCUCUUCAGAGACAACAGCUACUGCUACCAAUAGUGGGCAUUUGCACCUUCCCUGGCCUCAGUCCCUUGCCACAAGUAUGAGUGCCAGCCCCCUGCAUUGACGUGACUAUAGUCAGAAACACUUGCCUUUAUAUUCUAGAAACAUUCAUCACAGGAAGAAAACCACUGAGACUGAUAUUUUACCAGCCACAGAGUUACUGUCCCUGACAAGUGACAACCCCUAACCCUGAGGUUCUUGAUAGCCCUGGGUCCUUUAGCUAUGUAUAUCAUUGCCCUUUCUCAUACUAUGCCCUAACAUUUCUUUGAUUAUUAACCUAACACUAUAAAGCCUUUAUUGCUCUUGCAAAA